rnacentral:rRNA from 1 species
GACGAACGCUGGCGGCGUGCUUAACACAUGCAAGUCGAGCGGAGCGGCGAACGGGUGAGUAAAGCGUGAGUAACUGCCCCCCUCUCUGGGAUAACAGUUGGAAACGGAUGCUAAUACCGGAUAGUGGGGGAUGACUCGCGUCCUAUCCGCUUGUGGGUGGGGUAGUGGCCUACCAAGGCGACGCCGGGUAGCCGACCUGCGAGGUCGACCGGGCACAGUGGGCUGAGAUACGGGCCAAACUCCUACAGGAGGCAGCAGUGGGGAAUAUUGCACAAUGAGGGAAACCGGGAUGAGGCAACGCCGCGGGCGGGAAGACGGCGUUCGGGUUGUAAACCGCUUUCAGCCAUGACGCGGUAGUGGCAGAAGAAGCACCGGCUAACUACGUGCCAGCAGCCGCGGUAAUUC